CAGUCGCCACGGGAAUACGGAGGGCGCGAGCGUUACCCGGAUUUACUGGGCGUAAAGGGCGUGUAGGCGGCCUGGGGCGUCCCAUGUGAAAGGCCACGGCUCAACCGUGGAGGAGCGUGGGAUACGCUCAGGCUAGAGGGUGGGAGAGGGUGGUGGAAUUCCCGGAGUAGCGGUGAAAUGCGCAGAUACCGGGAGGAACGCCGAUGGCGAAGGCAGCCACCUGGUCCACUUCUGACGCUGAGGCGCGAAAGCGUGGGGAGCAAACAGGAUUAGAUACCCGCGUAGUCCCUGUCUCUUAUAC
rnacentral:rRNA from 1 species